CUUAACACAUGCAAGUCGAGCGAGAAAGGGGAGCAAUCCCUGAGUACAGCGGCGUACGGGUGAGUAACACGUGGGUAAUCUACCUUCGAGUGGGGGAUAACCCUGGGAAACCGGGGCUAAUACCGCAUGAGCCUGAGAAGGGAAAGCAGCAAUGCGCUGGAAGAGGAGCCCGCGGCCGAUUAGCUAGUUGGUGAGGUAACGGCCCACCAAGGCGAUGAUCGGUAGCCGGCCUGAGAGGGCACACGGCCACACUGGCACUGAAACACGGGCCAGACUCCUACGGGAGGCAGCAGUGGGGAAUCUUGCACAAUGGAGGCAACUCUGAUGCAGCGACGCCGCGUGAGCGAUGAAGCCCUUCGGGGUGUAAAGCUCUUUCGGCAGGGACGAUAAUGACGGUACCUGAAGAAGAAGCUGCGGCUAACUACGUGCCAGCAGCCGCGGUAAUACGUAGGCAGCGAGCGUUGUUCGGAAUUACUGGGCGUAAAGAGUGUGUAGGCGGUGCUCUAAGUUCGGUGUGAAAU
rnacentral:rRNA from 1 species